rnacentral:rRNA from 1 species
AAACCAACAGGGAUUGCCUUAGUAGCGGCGAGUGAAGCGGCAAAAGCUCAAAUUUGAAAUCUGGCACCUUCGGUGUCCGAGUUGUAAUUUGAAGAUUGUAACCUUGGGGUUGGCUCUUGUCUAUGUUUCUUGGAACAGGACGUCACAGAGGGUGAGAAUCCCGUGCGAUGAGAUGCCCAAUCCUAUGUAAGGUGCUUUCGAAGAGUCGAGUUGUUUGGGAAUGCAGCUCUAAGUGGGUGGUAAAUUCCAUCUAAAGCUAAAUAUUGGCGAGAGACCGAUAGCGAACAAGUACAGUGAUGGAAAGAUGAAAAGAACUUUGAAAAGAGAGUGAAAAAGUACGUGAAAUUGUUGAAAGGGAAGGGUUUGAGAUCAGACUCGAUAUUUUGUGAGCCUUGCCUUCGUGGCGGGGUGACCCGCAGCUUAUCGGGCCAGCAUCGGUUUGGGCGGUAGGAUAAUGGCGUAGGAAUGUGACUUUGCUUCGGUGAAGUGUUAUAGCCUGCGUUGAUGCUGCCUGCCUAGACCGAGGACUGCGAUUU